GUCCAAUCACUAACAAAACCUCCUAUUCGCGAAAAAUCUACAAUAUGAGACUACUUAUUAUCCAAUUACUUCUAAAAUUACAAAUUUGAUGACUAAAACCUCAAUAUACAAUAAAACCCUAAUCAUGAAAGAUUUGAAAAAACGGAAAAUUGUUCUUACUUUUUCUAGGGAAACAAAUGAAAGAUAAGGGCAAAAAGGGUAAAUGAGAACCUGAACAAAAGUGAAUCUCCGUUGUCUCUUUUAAGAAGAAAGCAAAACGAAUUGGAUACGAGACAAACAAACCACAAAAGCAAACUUGCAAGGAAAGGACACGAGAAAUAGUUCUGCAUCUGACACAAAUGGAAAGCCUUUCUGGCAAAUCCCUUUCAGCCAAAAACCUUUACAAAUGGGGAAAAGCUUACAAACAUUGAAGAGAAAAGGGAAUGGAAGGAGACGGGAGAAAGGCAACCGUGUGGUGGCCACAGAUGAAUAUGAGGCCUUCUACAGUGCUCAUCGGUCGCAUUCUAUGGUAAGGUUUAUUGAUUGAACUAUGUGGGGACAGUAUAUUAUUUGAUGUGGGAUCAAGAUAUCAAAAUGUGACAUAAUUGGUGUAGUUUCUAAAAGAGGGGUGGGGUCAGCUGACCCGCUGACCCCAAUUCACACUCCUCGUAUGUAAGAUAUGUGCCUAUGCAUAAGCCUGUGGAAAAAACAAGGGCCAAUGCCAGAAUUUCAGAUCCAAAUUAUUGUUGGCAACGUUCAUAACUGAAGCACCAUGGAAUAGGUGAAAAUUGAAAAAGAAAUUGUUGCAUUUCUCAACAAAUUUAAUUAUAUACAGGUAGAACUAAACAUAUGAUUUAACUAUUUAAUCAACAAAUCACAAUUAAUUACUCUAAUAAUCAUAAUACUGGAAUCACCAAAGAACUGAUACCUUGAAACAUCAUAGAUCGUGUUCAUCGAAGGAAAUGAAAAGACUGAUUUCAGGACAUAUCCCAGGAGUUAAUAAAUGUAUUUAUGUUUCCCACUAUAAAACUUAGAGUUACACUUUAAGAUUACAAACUCAGAAUCUUUUUCUCCUCAAAUUUGGAAGUAAUUUGAUGAGUUUUAAUAGAUAACUACAUCAGAUGGCUAAUAACCAUUGUCCUUCCCAAUAUGAAAUUACCCGGUUCUUUGUGUUUGUUCGAUGCUACAAACAAGGGUAUAGAAGUAUAAUUGGCACAAACAAGGGUAUACAUAUCAUAGAAGUGAGACCAUACAAUCAUAUAUUCAUAAAGGCAAACCAGAAGAGAAGUUUCAACACGGAUCCUCAGCAGCAUAAUUAUACAAAAUAAACCACUAAAAAAGCAAUUAACUAUAAGAAUUUCUUAGGUAUUCAUCAUAAGCUAACAAAAAUAAUAUAGGAAAAAUAAACUAAUUAACUAAUCUAAAGUAAUGAUAUAAAUAGAUGCUUAAAUUAAAUAUUUAGCAAUUCUAACCUGGAUUUCAAGCUUGACAUUGUCGCCUUCACCUAAAAUCUCCUUGUCAGUGAGGGAAAGGAACCUAAUCUUGUCUAAAGCCUACAAUAUAGAACUCAUUUCUGAUAAAUACAAAGUUCCAUUUUGUGUAUAAAAAUCAAAAUAUAGUAGUUUGUUUGUCAUGUAAUUAAUUGAACUAUGUGGGGACUGUAUAUUAUUUGAAAUGGAGUCGUGAUAUCAAAAUGUGACAUAAUUGGUGUAGUUUCUCGAAGAGGAGUGGGAUCAGCUGACCCCAAUUCAGACUCCUUCUAUGUAAGAUCUGUGCCUAUGCAUAAGCCUGUGGAAAAAACAAGGGCCUAUGCCAUAAUUCAGACCCAAAUUAUUGUUGGCAACAUUCAUAACUGAAGCACCAUGGAAUAGGUGAAACAGAAAUUGUUGCCUUUGUCAACAAAUUUAAUGAUAAAUAUAAAGGUAGAACUAAACAUAUGAUUUAACUAUUUACUCCCUCCGUCCCAAAACUUUAGUCCUUUUAGAGUUUUGC
rnacentral:lncRNA from 1 species